rnacentral:rRNA from 1 species
AUUGAACGCUGGCGGCAGGCCUAACACAUGCAAGUCGAGCGGAUGAAGGGAGCUUGCUCCUGGAUUCAGCGGCGGACGGGUGAGUAAUGCCUAGGAAUCUGCCUGGUAGUGGGGGAUAACGUCCGGAAACGGGCGCUAAUACCGCAUACGUCCUGAGGGAGAAAGUGGGGGAUCUUCGGACCUCACGCUAUCAGAUGAGCCUAGGUCGGAUUAGCUAGUUGGUGGGGUAAAGGCCUACCAAGGCGACGAUCCGUAACUGGUCCGAGAGGAUGAUCAGUCACACUGGAACUGAGACACGGUCCAGACUGCUACGGGAGGCAGCAGUGGGGAAUAUUGGACAAUGGGCGAAAGCCUGAUCCAGCCAUGCCGCGUGUGUGAAGAAGGUCUUCGGAUUGUAAAGCACUUUAAGUUGGGAGGAAGGGCAGUAAGUUAAUACCUUGAUGUUUUGACGUUACCAACAGAAUAAGCACCGGCUAACUUCGUG